rnacentral:lncRNA from 1 species
GAUUUUUUUUUUUACAGGUAUGUGAGCAUGUGUGUGCAUGCCUGUAUAAUAUGUAAGGUUGGGUUGGGGCUCCAGAGCAGAAGUCAAAUGGCAACCUGCAGGAGUUUUCUCUAUUUUUACUGUGAGAAUCUAACAAUUAAACUGAGGUCAUUGGGUAUGUGUGGCAAGUGCUUUUAAAGCCACAGUUUACCUGCUGAGUUACCUGUGCAGCUCUAAGAAUUUUGAAGUCUUAAAACAGAAUUUUGGGCCGGGCGUGGUGGGGCACACCUUUAAUCCCAGCACUUGAGAGGCAUGUGGAUUUCUGAGUUCGAGGCCAGCCUGGUCUACAGAGUGAGUUCCAGGACAGCCAGGACUACACAGAGAAACCCUGUCUCAAAAAACCAAAAAAAAACCAAACCAAACAAAACAAAACAAAAAAGAAAGCAAUUCCAAGAGUUCAAAAUUUUGUUGUUGUUGUUGUUGUUUUGUUUUGUUUUGUUUGUUGUUUUUUUUUUUAAUAGCCCUGGAUGUCCUGGAACUCACUUUGUAGACCAGGCUGACCUCGAACUCAGAAAUCUGCCUGUCUCUGCCUCCCGAGUGCUGGGAUUAAAGGCAUGCGCCACCACGCCCGGCUGGAAUUGCUUUCUUAUUUGAAGGAUUUUUUUGGUUUGUUUUUUUGUGUUUUGAGACAGGGUUUCUCUGUGUGGCCUGGCUGUCCUGGGACUCACUCUGUAGACCAGGCUGGCCUCGAACUCAGAAAGUUGCCUGCCUCUGCCUCCCAGGUGCUGGGAUUAAAGGCAUGUGCCACCACGCCCGGCUUGAAGGAUUU